rnacentral:lncRNA from 1 species
CAUCGGAUUCGUCACGGCGCUUCACGUUUUUGGUAAGCUCUACCGCUAUCGAUCUGGCACUGCUGGAGCUUAAUUUUCUGGAUCUUGUUGUUGGAGCUAUGUGACUUUGGUAAUUCAUUUUUCCGCGAAUUUCAUGCUCUGUAAAUUUUGUUUAAUGUUUUUGAUUUGAAGUAGUGAUGAAGAGGAUCGUAGUUUGAGUGAAUUUUACUGUUCUGAUCUUUGCAGGUUCAAUUAUGAAAAUUGCUUCAUUUCUCUUUGUGGUUUUAGAUUUUUAUUCCUUAACUGACUCGUAAUUAUCAAUUUGCAUUGGAAAUUCGAUGUUGUGCUUCUUAUUUUCAAUACGGAUUG